GGUGCGCGCGCUGGGGCUCGCGUCAGCUGGCGGCGGCGCGCGCGCGCGCGCGCGGCGCGGCCUCCCCUCCCCCAGGGCCCCCUAGCCUGCGGCUCCCCGAGGUGGGCGCGUGCGGGCUUGACGGGGGCGGAGCCUGGAGCCGGGCGCGCGCCGGGGCGUCCCUCUCCGCCCCCGCCCCCGCCUGGCGCGCUGGCAGCGCGGACCUCCUGGUCAAUGGGAGCGCGGGACUCGGCCGCCCGCGCGGCGGUCAGGUGGGCCCCCUAGCUCCGCGCCGCUUCGUUCGCACUCCCGCUUCCGCUCCAUCUUGGCUCCAGCAGCUCGGCUUCUUGGUUACUCUCCAGCUGCCGGGGCCGUGGCAGCCGGGACCAAGUGACCUCAGCGAACGCGAGGAGACAGUGGGUCUGAGUAAACUCGCGUUCCCGAGAAUUUGCUUGGGGCGUGGGGGCAGAUGCGGAUUGUCCGCUUCCUGCGACCCACAAACAUUAAUUGAGCACCUAGUAUGUGAGGGAGGAAGCUGUGAGGAGAGGAACACAGCAGGAUGAGACAAAGCCAGGGCCUGGUCUCAAGGAGCCUCUGCUUCCCUGUGCCGUCGCGGACCCUGCUCCGAGAUUCCCGGCCAUAGGUUGCUAGGAUGAUUAUGCUGAUCCAUCUGAUACAGGGAAAAAACUCAGCAACUUCUCCCAGAUUCUGCUAUCCCUACAAGGCUGCAUCUGAAAGACCAAAGAGAAACUGACAAUCCAAGAUGGACAAGCAAACCAAAUUAAAUACUUCGAAAAGGCAAGUUAAAAUUUGAGGGCAUCAAAGGGUGUGAUGCCUGAAAAGAGCCCUGAAACUCGCGCUCAUGCACACACCCAUACACUCAAUCAGUGAGUGUAUUCACGCAGCUGGACUUCCGGAGUCUCAGGAGGAAAUGCAGUUGAGUUACUUUGUUUAUACAAAAUUCGAUGUAACCCUCUCCAAGAGCCCUGUGCCUCUGAAAUUCUGUUUGCUAAAAUAAUGGUCAGAAGCAGUUUGUGUUCACAAAACCAAACUCAGUGUUUCCCUAAGAUCAAAUAUUCCAUGACAGAUUUUAUCCCCAAAUUCGGAGAAAAAAUGAGAAGAAUGCAAAGAUUAAUCCUCAGAGGCCCUUCAAUAAGCCUUUCCU